CCAAGCACUAGGGAGACAAGGAGUUGGGAAGGAAGAGAUGAGUAAGAAGGCAAUUUGCAGUUGUUUGGAAAAAGGGGAGGGAUCAAACCGCAGCCAAGAAGUAGGAAGUCAGGGCAGAUAACGGGAUCAGAAGAUCAUCAUCCCCAACUAGGUUUGGUCAUUCUCAAGUAAGCUGGACCGAAGAUCCUGUUGGAAAUCCAGGUUGGGCAUGACUGAGCCAAGGAUCAGUGAACUUCAUAUGAUAAAGAAGCGGAAAAUUCUACGAGAUAUGACAUGCCCAGAAUUCUGCAGUGGUGCUGGAAAGAAAUGAAGAUCUCAGAAUUGCUUACAUUGAUGUUGUCGAGAGCAUUAGG